rnacentral:lncRNA from 1 species
GAUCCCUCCUCCGGCCUGCCUCACUCUAUCCUACCUGCUACAAAUAGCUCACCAUCAGGCGGCUCUUUGCUCUGUCAGGCGUCAACUAGCUGCGGAAAUGGCGUACGAGGCAGCUGCUGCCGUUGCUCUGCGAGAUCAUCGGCGUCAUGGAGAGAAGGGCGGCGCGAGAAGCCAUGGCCGACCGAAGCAGGUGGAGGAGGAGAGAGUGGUGAUGAGGUGCGGCGUUCUCGGGAUUCUCAAACGGGUUCUCCCACUCUCCGGAGCCUCAUGGUCAGGGAAGAGAUAAUUAAGUGAAGGGUCUGCGUUGGUUGCAUCAUGAUUUGUAAGUAGUCAUCAUGUAGGACAUGUGAUUAAAGAGGUUUAUUGACUCUCAAUUCGUUUCCCAAGCAAAUAUGAUGGCAUUUGGCGUUGUGGGUAGCGUAGUGUAGGUAUAGUAGCUAGUAGGGUUCAUAAUUCAAGGUGCUGUUUGGUUAAAGAAUUGUAACGUAAACACGCAAAUGUAAUCAGAAAGCAGCGGUAACGUUAAAAAGGAAACAGAAGACUGACUCUGGUUCCCGUGCCGUAAGGAAAAUAAAAACCUGCCUAUCUUAAGCACCUGCCUGCAUUGUCAUCUAGCUUUUGUUUCUCUCCUCGCAUCCUGCAAGUUUUUUUUAAAGACGUGCAUAGCAUGUUUUCAUUAAGACGAAGAGCAUAAUUACAACGAUGCGGUCUGUCUGAAGAAAAUCU